GUUGUUGUCAUUGGAUCAUGGUAUUCAUUCAAACGAUCAAAACAAAUAAUACAAACCGUUUUAAACUUUUGGGUUCAAUUAAGAUCAUUGUUUGGUGAAUAUAUUUAUGAAGAAGGCUACUAUGAAUAUUAUGAAGUUCCUGUAUCUGAUAAUGACGAUAAUGAUGAAAAUAUCUAUACUGAGAUAUACAACACUCAGCCUAAAACUGACGAAAUACAAGAUGUAGACAAAGUGGAAUCAAAAGAAGAAAAUUAAUAUUUCAAAGCUUUCGAACUUGAAU